rfam:Hordeum vulgare subsp. vulgare, WGS project CAJW01000000 data, contig: morex_contig_2554757
UUAAUACUCCCUCAGUCCGAAAAUUCUUGUCUUAAAUAUUUCUACGUAUCAAUGUAUCUAGUCACGUUUUAAUAUUUACAUACAUUUAAUUCUAGACAAACUUAAGACAAAAAAUUUGGAACGGAGGAAGUAGGAU